GCCCCUGUGACCUAAGUGGUACGGGUGACCAGCUCAAACCUGGGAUGUUUGCAAGUUCGAGUCUUGCCAGGGGCA
rnacentral:tRNA from 1 species